CUCGUAGCUCAGAUUGAACUGGCGGGAUGUCUUUUACACAUGCAAGUCGAACGGCAGCACGGACCUCGGUCACCUUGGUGGCGAGUGACGAACGGGUGAGUAGUAAUGUAUCGGAACGUGCCUAGUAGCGGGGGAUAACUACGCGGCAGUAGCUAAUGCCGCAUACGCCCUUCGGGGAAAGCGGGGGGACCUUCGGGCCUCGCACUAUUAAACGGCCGAUAUCGGAUUGUAGUUGGUGGGGGUAACGGCUCGCAAGGCGACGAUCAGUAGCUGGUUUGAGAAGGACGACCAGCCACACUGGGACGGACACGGCCCAGACUCCUACACGGGAGGCAGCAGGUGAAAUUUUGGACAAUGGGGAAACCCUGAUCCAGCCAUCCCGCGUGUGCGAUGAAGGCCUUCGGUUUGUAUAAAGCACUUUUGGCAGGAAAGAAACGGCACGGGAUAAUACCCCGUGCAACUGACAGUACCUGCAAGAAUAAGCACCGGCUAACUACGAUGCCAGCAGCCGCGGUAAUACGUAGGGUGCAAGCGUUAAUCGGAAUUACUGGGCGUAAAGCGUGCGCAGGCGGUUCCGGAAAGAAAGAUGUGAGAAUCCAGAGCUUAACUUUGGAACUGCAUUUUUAACUACCGAGCUAGAGUGUGUCAGAGGAGGUGGAAUUCCGCGUGUAGCAGUGAAAUGCGUAGAUAUGCGGAGGAACACCGAUGGCGAAGGCAGCCUCCUGGGAUAACACUGACGCUCACAUGCACGAAAGCGUGGGGAGCAAACAGGAUUAGAUGCCCUGGUAGUCCACGCCCUAAAACGAUCUCAACUAGCUGUUUGAGGCCUUCGGGCCUUGAGUGGCGCAACAACGCGUGAAGUUGACCGCCUGAGGGAGUACGAUCAUAAAGAUUAAAACUCAAAGGAAUUGACGGGGACUGCCCUGGCGGUGGAUGAUGUGGAUUAACAAUUCGAUGCAACGCGAAAACCUUACCUACCCUUGACAACAAUAAUGUCGAUCCCAGGGUGGGAGUGCUCGCGAAGAGGCUUAGGAACACAGGUGCUGCAUGGCUGUCGUCAGCUCUCGUGUCGUGAGAUGUUGGGUUAAUGAUCCCGCAACGAGCGCAACCCUUGUCAUUAGUUGCUACGAAGGGCACUCUAAUGAGACUGCCGGUGACAAACCGGAGGAAGGUGAGUUGACGUCAAGUCCUCAUGGCCAUAUGGGUAGGGCUUCGCACGUCAUGCAAUGGUCGGGACAGAGGGUCGCCAACCCGCGAGGGAACCAAUCAGAAACCCGAUCAGCCAGUCCGGAUCACGCAGUCUGCAACUCGGCUUCGUGAAGUCUGAGAAUCGCUAGUAAUCGCGGAUCAGCAUGUCGCGUGAAUACGUUCCCGGGUCUUGUACACCGCCCGUCACCAUGGGAGUGGAGUUUUACCAAGUAGUUAUCCUUCGCCAUAGGAGGGCGAUUACCACGGUAGGAUUCAUGACGCAGGGUGAAGUCGUAACAAGGUAG
rnacentral:rRNA from 1 species